rnacentral:rRNA from 1 species
GACGAACGCUGGCGGCAUGCUUAACACAUGCAAGUCGAACGGAAAGGCCCUGCUUUUGUGGGGUGCUCGAGUGGCGAACGGGUGAGUAACACGUGAGUAACCUGCCCUUGACUUUGGGAUAACUUCAGGAAACUGGGGCUAAUACCGGAUAGGAGCUCCUGCUGCAUGGUGGGGGUUGGAAAGUUUCGGCGGUUGGGGAUGGACUCGCGGCUUAUCAGCUUGUUGGUGGGGUAGUGGCUUACCAAGGCUUUGACGGGUAGCCGGCCUGAGAGGGUGACCGGCCACAUUGGGACUCAGAUACGGCCCAGACUCCUACGGGAGGCAGCAGUGGGGAAUAUUGCACAAUGGGCGGAAGCCUGAUGCAGCAACGCCGCGUGCGGGAUGACGGCCUUCGGGUUGUAAACCGCUUUCGCCUGUGACGAAGCGUGAGUGACGGUAAUGGGUAAAGAAGCACCGGCUAACUACGUG